rnacentral:rRNA from 1 species
UUCCGUAGGUGAACCUGCGGAAGGAUCAUUAACA